UUUAACGGCCGCGGUAUCUUGACCAUGUGAAGGUAGCGUAAUCAUUUGUCUUUUAAAUGAAGACCGGUAUGAAUGGCGCAACGAGGGCUUAACUGUCUCACUCUCCCUGUCAAUGAAAUUGAUCUCCCCGUGCAGAAGCGGGGAUAACUACAUAAGACGAAAAGACCCUAUGGAGCUUUAGAAUAUGAAGCAGCUCUAAUAAAUUAAUGAAUACCCAAUGAAUCCUGCUUCUCAUUUCUUCGGUUGGGGCGACCAUGGAGAAAAAUAAACCUCCACGAAAAAACCACCAAGGUUUACAAAAUAAGAAUAACAAUUCUAAUUUACAGAACUUCUGUUCUAAAUGAUCCGGGAAAGCUCCCGAUCAACGAAACAAGUUACCCUAGGGAUAACAGCGCAAUCCCCUUUUAGAGCUCACAUCGACAAGGGGGUUUACGACCUCGAUGUUGGAUCAGGACAUCCUAAU
rnacentral:rRNA from 1 species